AUGGAGGAGAACGCCGGUAGAUCCACCACAACAAUUGGCAUUCUAAGAAGGGGUUCUGGUGUCUCCUUGAGAAAUCAAAGCAAUGAGGAGAGACCAAAUCAGUUCCAGAAUAAGGCAGGGAACACCACAAAGCUCAACCCCACAAAAGCAACAUGGGCUGGCAACAAGGAAAAGCCGGGGUAUUUGCGUGACUCCUUUAAUUCAUCAGGAUCCAAGUCUGUAUCUGCAAGCUCUUCAAAAGCUCCUGUCAGAAAGAAUUGCGACGAAAAGCUAAGGCGCCCAUUGUCGGCACAGUUUAACAAUGCUGAAAGUAGUAACAGAAGAACUGUUGUCAACCGUCUGCAGAGUAGCAAGAAAGCUAUUGCUGGUGAGGAGGAUGGGCAUCCAUGUGCUCAGCAGAUUGAGUCUGAAGAUUCAUCAUCCACAUCAACCACUGGGGAUCAGCCAACAGGGCUAGAUCCUGAAGUCUUAGAUUCAUCUGUUUCUUCAGGGAGUUCUUCACAUGUAGUUGAUUCCGUGGCGAGAAAUACUGCAUUGAGGACUAAACCACGUAGGCAGAAGGAUAAAGAGGAAAUAGGUUUGGGUAAAACUCAAACUGCAUCUACUUCUGUCCAUCAGCCUGACGGACCUCGCAAUUUGGUCAUUGGUGUGAAAUCAUCAAAUGGUGCUGGUCCUGGUGUACAAAGGCGUGGUAUAAAAAACCUUGGUUGCACAUCAAUCUCUGAUGUUUUGCCGUCAGGCUGUUCUUCAUCUAAUUCUGUCCAUAGUAAGAGGACUGAGAUUACGAGAAAGAGGAUUUCUGAUGGGGAGACUUCUUCGAGACCAAGGGCUUUAAGUGGGCAGCCUUCUUUGUAUCCUGGCAGUACUGGUCCUAGAGUCAGAGACUCUGAACAAUCAGCUUCUCAACAAACAACAAGGACUAGCAACAGAAUUAUUCGGGAUUCUGCAGAUUCAGUAAGGACUAGGCGUCCUUCUACUCAGCAGGCUAGGAUGAGGAUGCCAGAUGAAACAGAGCAGGGCGUGUUUGCUCUGCGCGAGACUGUUUCGGGGGCUCGUCAACCAGAUUGGGCCCGAUUUUCGAUGAACGAAGUUCCUCCACAGAGGUCAACAAGGCCUUUUCCUAUGGAGUUGCCUCAUGCAAUUUACUCUUCUAGUCGUCAAGGCUCUAGUAACCGUACAUCAAGGAGCAGAGGGAGUUCUCAUCCCGAGGAUAGCUCCCCACAAAUGUUUAGAGAUGUCUACAGGCGCAUGAACAUGGACGGAAUUGCAGAGGUGUUGCUAGCAUUGGAAAGGAUCGAACAACAUGAUGAAUUGUCUUAUGAGCAAUUGCUGGUGCUGGAAACCAAUCUAUUCCUCAGUGGCCUUGGCUUGAAUGAUCAGCAUAGAGAUAUGAGAAUGGAUAUUGACGACAUGUCUUAUGAGGAAUUAUUACAACUAGAGGAUAGAAUUGGCUCCGUGAGCACUGCCCUUUCUGAAGAGCAAUUGGAGAAGUGUCUCAGUCGAGUCGUGUAUAAGCUAGCGAAUCCAGCGCUAGAAGUGAACAAACCUGUAGUAGAUGAUGUCAAAUGCAGCAUAUGCCAGGAGGAGUACAUUGAGGACGAAGAGGUUGGCAGAAUGAAGUGCGAGCAUCAGUACCAUGUGUGCUGCAUUCAGGAGUGGCUUCGACAGAAGAACUGGUGUCCGAUAUGCAAAGCUUCAGCAGUACCUACGUCGGACGCGGACAAGGGGGAUACAUGA
rnacentral:rRNA from 1 species